rnacentral:lncRNA from 1 species
CUGAAUUCCUAGUUCUGUGUUCCAGUUCUUAAAAUGUAUGUAAUGCUGUAAUACUUGCUGACAACUGGAGGCUGAACAUGAUCUGUAGUAAAAAGUAUGGUCAAGUAUGCAUUAUUCUGUUGAUUGUAUUACUGCUUUUUUGUUGUAUUACAUAAAUAUAAUUCACUGUAAUUGAUGUAAUUGUGUCAUCAAAAAAUAAUGGGCUUGAAACUCUGCAACGGUGCUGAAAUACAAGCAAAACUGAUUUCUUACCUCCCAGAGCUUUCUGAUAUAAUGUCUUGUCCUCUCAAAUUGAAUGGAUUCUCACAGAAGCCAAAAAUCCUGGGAUCCGGUACUUCAAAUACCAUUCCUAAUGUCUUCUCUGACAGCAACACCUGUAAAGCAGGAGUGCUAGUGCAAUUGCUAAGCAAUUCAGUUUUCAGUGCCUAUCUUGCAAUGAGGGAGAAGCUUGUUUGCAGCAAAGAGAACAGCUGCUCAGCAGCGUACAGAAUUCAGUGCAAGCUCAGUUCAAUAUAGGUAAUGAAGUCUUGGUCUUUUGAAAGAGAAAGGAUGUGUCAGAGUUGCAAAUGUCAAGUAGGAAGCAUUCAAAUGUAGCACUAUAGUUCAAGACUGAGACAGGGAGCAGGAGCCGUAAAAUUAAAAUGGAAUGAGCUAUGCAGAAUAGCUCCAAUCAAGCCCUUCUUUUAUUUCGUCCUUUUGUCUUUAAAGCUUGGCUUAAGGUAAUUUGCUUGGUUUCUCUUCACUCCCUCAAUUAGAAGAGAGAUUAUCGAUUUCCUCAAAAAAGCUGGAUAUGCAAAAUUGAAGAUUUAAAUUGAAAGCUGUCUGCUUUCACCUAUUUGUUUCUUUCUCUUUUGCUUAUAUUUUUCUUUCAAUUUUAUAUUUCUUUCUCUUAGUCAUUCUUCUAGUAUUCACUGCAU